GAACAUCUCAGAGAAUCAGCUUAAUUAUGGCACCGAUGUGAGACUAACACUCUUUGGAUUUGUUCCUUCUCAGGGUGGCUGUUACAGUCUUGUAAGCAUCAUCAGUCAUUAUGGAGGCACAGAGUCAGGUAAAACAACAGACUUGUUACAAACAGAAAAUGAAAACUUGCUACUUUUCAAUGAAGGACUCACACACAAAAGCUUUUGAUGUUCUAAGAAGCACUAAGUCAAAAUCACUGUUUGCUUGAAUCAGCUGACUUCCAGAAGUUGGAUUCAUUUGUCUUAAUGUAAUUUCAGGACACUACAUCUGUAAUUCUGUCCAUCCUGAGGAGAGUCAGCACUCUACAUCAGAUCGCUGGCUCACCUAUAAUGACGCACAGGUGCUCCACACAACUAGAUCUGCAGUUUGUGAGGAACAGCAGCACUCGGCCUACAUGCUGUUUUACAAGAGAAACUUCUAAAACAGGAUACGGAAGGAAGUUAAGGUCAUCAUCACGCUGAGAAGGAAAAGCAGUCGUCCCAGUCCACCAUCGCUGACUGGAGGACAAAUAUUAGAACCGACCUGAGUGAGCGUGUGGACAACAGGUAUGGGAAACCCUUCAAAAGCGGACAGAGCAGUUGGGGAGCCAAGGCAAUAGAAAAAUAUAAAAGAUUUGUUUUAUGUAAAUAAUUUCAGAAAAAGACAAAAACAGUUAAAACACACCUUCCAGGGAGAACAUAAAGUUAAAAGCAUAAAAACAAUACAGCCAAAAAGUCCAAUGGCCUCAGCCACAAAAUUAAAAUCCGUCCUCGCCUGUCCUUUCUGCCUGUCUGGUGCCAACUAAAGGAGAGAGGAGCAGUGGCAGUCACUAUUCUUUUAUUUCACCGGAGUUUCUUCUUAAAAUGAAAUUGAUCAGGAUUUACCCCGGAUAGGCAGAGCUCUUAACUCUGCCUGCUGCUUUGCUGUGUUUUUUAACAUGCGCAUUAGUGAUCAGGAGGGGGGCGGUGAAAGGAGAGGCAUGUCAAGAAAUAUUUACAAUAAAAGCAUAGCACAACUUGGAGGCCUCACACUAACGCAGGCUAGCAGAAGAUCUGGCAAGGACUCAUUGAGAGCGCUGGUCUUUUAUGCAGGUAGUCCAAAGUGCAAACAGGUGCAGACCGUUAAGGGUUUAGGGGUGGAAGCUCCAGCUCUAUAGAAAAAUACAUCUACUCACCCAGACCAUGACAUUGUUAACCAAUUAGUAAACAUUAAUUUUAAAUCCACUUUAAUCCUGAAUGAUAAGACUUCAUCAAUCAUCAUAUCACAACACUUUGCUCUGAGACUGUGAGGUAGAGCCCUCAGCUAUCAGGCCCCUUUGCUAUAAAGUCAGCUCCCCGUUUGAAUUCACAAAACAGGCCUCUAUUUUCAAGAUAAUGCUGGAAAUUUUUGUUUUUUGUUAUAAAGAUCAUAGUUCGGGCUGGAUCAGUUGACCCUGAAUUGACUGUAAGUUAAUUAUCUCUUAGACAAGUUUGAAAAUGUAUCUCUGUAGACUCACCAGAGGGUUACAGUUCCUGGUACCAUUGAUACUACUACACUACUACUAGCCACCACUUUGUGGGUGGGAAUUCUGGAAGUACUCAAAUAUCUGAAUCCGUUAGUUUAACCCUUGUAAUGUCUUCCAAAUGACCAUACUCUUUUUGUAAUAUGUAAAAGUUAAGAUGGCAUGUUAGUUUUAAAGCACUUAAUUUUUUUUAUUUAUUUUUUUCAAAUCAAUGGGUUGAUUUUUGCAGAUGUAUGGAUUGCAUUUUUGGCCCAUUUUUGAUGUUUUGAAAUCAGUCUUACAAGGGCAGAAUUUGCACCUCCUUGGGUGAUGGGAAAGUAGGGACAGCUGGUUGAGGAAGAACUGCGGCAGAGGUAGAGCUGGAGCAGAAGUGCUGGUUCUCCAUAACCAGUCUGCCAGCUGCUGGUGUCAAACGUUAUAACGAAUCGUAGUGCAAUUACACAGCAGGUUUGUCAGUGUAUACUUGCAUAUUCCAUGCAUAACUAGACCUGGCAUCGCAUGCUGCCCAUAUUUUUAUUCCAUAUUUCCCUGGUUUGCUUGGGAUGUGCUGUUUGAAUGGACAGCGACAAUGGACAGCUGUUUGAAUGACACUAGGUGCUCAUCCACAGUCACAUCAGUGACUGAAUUGUACAUCAUUGGCAGAAGAGACACCUACUUAUCCCAUACAUCUCGUAUGGGAGCAACAUUGCCUUGUGCAUGACAAUCUUCUCUUGUGUCUUUAUCAUUGAAUCAAAUCACUCUUUAGAUUUUAUGAAACAUCUUGAGUGUCAUGCUAGCACGGAAAAUUGUCCUACCAGACUCAGCAUGCCAUAAAUUAGCCGUAGCUUCUUUACUGGAGUGGUACACACCAGCGAAAAUCUGCAUACCCACAUAUGCCUGCAGGUCGAUUCAAUCCAUCUUUCUCCACUUGAUGCCAUACACGUCGGCCCUCCUUGUUUGUCAUGUUCAGCACCACCUCUUCAAUAAACUUGGGAAAAAGUGGAAUUUAUGUCAUCAAUACGAGACCUUGCAUAUGCGGUUGGACCAUGGUGGCUUUUGUCUCUCUUUAUUGUCAACUUGCUUAAUCUGUCGCUGGGAGGAACUAAAGACCAGAUCAAUUUUUCAUCCUUUGACUGGAUAUUUAUAUAUUUGACUGGAUAUAUUCUUCUGUCUCAGCUGGGUCCUCUUCCACAUAUUCUUCCUCUUCAUCAGAAGUGUAGCACAAAUGGUACCUUAAAAAGCAGGUACCAAGCAAGGAUGAUCUGUCAUAUAUGCAUCACAGUGUUUACAAUACAGUCUUUGUGUAGUUGUAGUUGUUUGUAGAUAUGAUCUGUUUGUUAAUCAGCAUUUCGACUGAUGGAUUCAAUGAGACGAGUCAAUCCAGAAGGGGUCAUGAUGCGAAGGUUAUCUAUUCAGACUGCAAGCCGUUGUCAGUACAUUUCUUUUUAUAUUUCUGCCUUGUCAGAAGGAGAUUUGUUGUCCAUGGUGGGAUAGAUGGUUCUUCUAGGUUAAUUGUCUACCUUAAAGCUGCCACCAACAACAAAGCUACAACCGUUUUUGAUGGUUUUUUGUCAGCAAUCAGACUAUAUGUCAUACCAUCACGAGUCCGGUAAGAGGCAUUUAACAAAUACAGUAUGCCAAAAAAUUCUGCAUCGGACAGUAGUUAUAUUCAGAUUGUUACUCUCACUGACUCAGAUCAAAACUUUUCUACUUUUUUUCGAGGUCAGACAAGGGGUGGGCAUUUCAUGAUGCAGACAAUGGGGGAGAACAGGAACUCUCACAAUCAGAAGUGUUCACAGCCAGCGGUAAGGACAAGUAAAUUAAUGGCCUGUCUUACAUUGUUUCAAACAUGCACUUGUAAUAAAACAAAUGGUUUAUGAGCAUAAUUGACUGGUUGCACAGCACAUUAAUACUACACUAAUAAUUGACUCUUUAUUGAGACUUUGUUUGCUAAAGUGCAGCAGUGAGUGUGGAGUGAAAAACAAGGACAAAUGAAAACAGUGGGGCAGAUAAAGUUUGGGUGACAGGGUUAGGUUUCUCUUAAAAAACUUUGACUACUAUAGGUGAUGAACAGCAGGAAGAGAAUAUCGCGCAUUAUAUCAGUACACCGUCUGUGUUUUCUUUUUAAAAAGAAGUGAGAUAACAUUAAGUAACAUGGACAGGGUAAGUCUUGCAUGGGUGUUUAAUUUUGUGGUGAUAAAUGUGUCUUCCAGGGGUCAACAAAAACACACACAUUACU